AUCAUCAUUUACAUAGGCAGCUAACCAAGUUUCAUAUAGUGAAGUAGGGCAGUGUGGCAUAUAAAGUAGAGUGUAUUUUAAGCAGCUGGGUGUUGGUGGGUCUGGCAAAACACAAAACCCUUUAUUUUCGAGAAAUUCGACAUCAUCUUUGAGAAAUGCUGGAUCAUAAAAUGAACAAAAUCUUGGUUGCAAAUUAAAUAUUUUCAUAAUUUCAAAAAAGAGAGACAACUGUAAAGAAGCUGUUAAAGUGUGUAUUCUACCAAGCCCAAGGAUAAUGCAUUUGUGGAUAGGAUCUUUAAAUUCUGAUAAUUGACUUUGGACACUUUUUAAAAAUUCAGAGUACUCUAAUUUUUCUCUAGAAUUAUCUAAUUUACGCUGUAAAGUAUCUUGUGACCAUAAAUCUGUAUCACCUUGAGUAAUGGUGUUUGAAACCUUAGGAAAUUUUCCUCUUCCAUUUUUUUUUUUACGAGACCGUUUAACAACAAUAAAGUCCAUGUUUAAAUUAUCAAUAAAGAAAUAAAUACCUGAGUAAAAACUUAAAGUGCAGGAAGGCCCAACACUUUUACAAUCCCGGUUCCAAUUGCAGCGAAAAAUUUUAGAAGGAUAUAAUGAACAUGGAAAUGAAUACACACAAAAAAAAUAAAAAGGAAAUUUGAGGAA